rnacentral:rRNA from 1 species
UACGUAGGGGGCAAGCGUUGUCCGGAAUUAUUGGGCGUAAAGAGCGCGUAGGCGGUCCGGUAAGUCAGCUGUGAAAGUCAAGGGCUCAACCCUUGAAAGCCGGUUGAUACUGUCGGGCUAGAGUCCGGAAGAGGCGAGUGGAAUUCCCGGUGUAGCGGUGAAAUGCGCAGAUAUCGGGAGGAACACCUGUGGCGAAAGCGGCGCACUGGACCAUAACUGACGCUGAGGCGCGAAAGCUAGGGGAGCAAACAGG